rnacentral:rRNA from 1 species
CGCGAAUGGCUCAUUACAACAGCUAUAACUUACUUGAUCUUGACACAAUCCUACUUGGAUAACUGUGGUAAUUAUAGAGCUAAUACAUGCAUUAAAGCUCAGACCUCACGGGAAGAGUGCAUUUAUUAGAACAAAACCAAGCGGCCUCGGCUGUUUUCGGUUGACUCAUAGUAACUGAGCUGAUCGCAUGGUCUUGCACCGGCGACGUGUCUUUCAAGUAUCUGCCGUAUCAACUUUCGAUGGUAGUGUAUCUGACUACCAUGGUGAUCACGUGUAACGGAGAAUAAGGGUUCGGCUCCGGAGAGCUCGCCUGAGAAAUCGCGAACACAUCUAAGGAAGGCAGCAGGCGCGAAAAUUACCCACUCUCAGCACGAGGAGGUAGUGACGAAAAAUAACGAGACCGUUCUCUUAUGAGGCCGGUCAUCGGAAUGGGUACAAUUUAAACCCUUUAACGAGUAUCUAUGAGAGGGCAAGUCUGGUGCCAGCAGCCGCGGUAAUUCCAGCU